GAUGAACGCUGGCGGCGUGCCUAAUACAUGCAAGUAGAACGCUGAAGGAGGAGCUUGCUCUUCUGGAUGAGUUGCGAACGGGUGAGUAACGCGUAGGUAACCUGCCUGGUAGCGGGGGAUAACUAUUGGAAACGAUAGCUAAUACCGCAUGACAACAGUUAUUGCAUGAUAACUGUUUAAAAGGGGCAACUGCUCCACUACCAGAUGGACCUGCGUUGUAUUAGCUAGUUGGUGAGGUAACGGCUCACCAAGGCGACGAUACAUAGCCGACCUGAGAGGGUGAUCGGCCACACUGGGACUGAGACACGGCCCAGACUCCUACGGGAGGCAGCAGUAGGGAAUCUUCGGCAAUGGACGGAAGUCUGACCGAGCAACGCCGCGGGAGUGAAGAAGGUUUUCGGAUCGUAAAACUCUGUUGUAAGAGAAGAACGAGUGUGAGAGUGGAAAGUUCACACUGUGACGGUAUCUUACCAGAAAGGGACGGCUAACUACGUG
rnacentral:rRNA from 1 species